rnacentral:rRNA from 1 species
UACAGAGGUCUCAACCGUUGUUCGGAUUCAUUGGGCGUAAAGGGUGCGUAGGCGGUUAUUCAAGUCGAAUGUGAAAGCCCCCGGCUUAACUGGGGAGGGUCAUUCGAUACUGUUUAACUUGAAGGCAGGAGAGGGUAGUGGAAUUCCCGGUGUAGUGGUGAAAUGCGUAGAUAUCGGGAGGAACACCUAUGGCGAAGGCAGCUCGCUGGGACGUUACUGACGCUGAGACGCGAAAGCGUGGGGAGCAAACAGG